UCUUCUUCCCAUCCUUCUUCCCCAUUUCAAGUUUUCCAUCUUCCAUGGAGGCCACCCUUAAAACCUCCAUAACCUUCUCAUAGUAACCUCAAAUCUCAUGUUUUUAGUACACUUUUUCAUAGGGUUUUUCGUUCUCUUUCACUUUUUCACCUCAAAAACCCUCAAAAAGUUUUUCCUAUGCACUUUCUCUCACUAUUUGAACAUUUUAGAGAGAGAGACUCUUCAAAGUAUCUUGAGAAAACCCUUAAAAGAAUUUUUUCUCUUAAAUUCUAACUAAAGGAUUCAACUACAAGUUCACCAAGAUUCCAACGAGACCCCACAUAUCCAUUUGGAGCAAUAGUCGAAGUUGGAGUUGAUCAAAAAAUCAACAAAGAUAGGUGGUGAGCAUUUUGGCAAAAGUCAAGAGAUAGUACCCGAGGAUCAAGAAUCGAAGUACUCUGAAUUCGAUUCCGAUUAUAGCUCAGGAUAGUCAGUAGAUAGCUCACUUUGUUGAGGG